UACGAAGGGUGCAAGCGUUAAUCGGAAUUACUGGGCGUAAAGGGUGCGUAGGCGGUUGUUUAAGUCUGUCGUGAAAUCCCCGGGCUCAACCUGGGAAUGGCGAUGGAUACUGGGCAGCUAGAGUGUGUCAGAGGAUGGUGGAAUUCCCGGUAUAGCGGUGAAAUGCGUAGAGAUCGGGAGGAACAUCAGUGGCGAAGGCGGCCAUCUGGGACAACACUGACGCUGAAGCACGAAAGCGUGGGGAGCAAACAGG
rnacentral:rRNA from 1 species